rnacentral:rRNA from 1 species
UGCAAGUCGAACGGUAACAGGGGAGCUUGCUCCCGCUGACGAGUGGCGAACGGGUGAGUAAUGCAUCGGAACGUGCCGAAUAGUGGGGGAUAACGCACCGAAAGGUGUGCUAAUACCGCAUACGCCCUGAGGGGGAAAGUGGGGGACCGCAAGGCCUCACGCUAAUCGAGCGGCCGAUGUCGGAUUAGCUAGUUGGUGGGGUAAAGGCUCACCAAGGCGACGAUCCGUAGCGGGUCUGAGAGGAUGAUCCGCCACACUGGGACUGAGACACGGCCCAGACUCCUACGGGAGGCAGCAGUGGGGAAUUUUGGACAAUGGGGGAAACCCUGAUCCAGCCAUGCCGCGUGUCUGAAGAAGGCCUUCGGGUUGUAAAGGACUUUUGUCCGGGAGGAAACCCUGAUCGUUAAUAGCGGUCGGGACUGACAGUACCGGAAGAAUAAGCACCGGCUAACUACGUGCCAGCAGCCGCGGUAAUACGUAGGGUGCAAGCGUUAAUCGGAAUUACUGGGCGUAAAGCGUGCGCAGGCGGUGAGAUAAGUCAGCUGUGAAAGCCCCGGGCUCAACCUGGGAACUGCGGCCGAAACUGUCUCGCUAGAGUACGUCAGAGGGGGGUGGAAUUCCACGUGUAGCAGUGAAAUGCGUAGAGAUGUGGA